UUUUUUUGUUUCGAUAUUUCGUUACAUACUUUAACUAAUGUUUAAAAUGAAGCCGCAAAAUGUCCGCCUCGUGAGAAGCUUUCAAAUUGCCAUCAAGUGCACAGUGUUAGAGAGUGGAGGUCAGGCUCUACAAGUAGACGCCCUAAAAUUCACUAAUGAUCCAUCCGCAGGUUCACCUACGGAUA
rnacentral:misc_RNA from 1 species